CAGCCGUGAGUCCUGCCUCACAGUCCCUCUCAGCUGUAGCGAGAUCCGCUACAGAGCCUCUCUUCUUUGCAAUCUAGACUCAUGGCCACUUUCCACUGAAGUCCAGGCUUGGCUAUGGAAACAUGAAGUAAACUCUGAAGUUUCUCCCCAAGCCUUUCUUCUCACAUGGUCACCAUGGUGAUGGGAAAAUAUUAUGCAGUGGAGGAAUUAUGGGAAUAUGAAUCAGCAGAAGCAGGGAGAGAGACCUCUGGGAAGCGGGGACUCCCAGUGGACACGCAGCCUUUUCAAACAGCACAUCCAGUGUCCCCUCCAGGAAGCCCACCCUGACCCUCCAAGGCCUUUGUGACCCUCCACCUGUCCACAUGCUCCACAGCACAAGGGUAUCAUGAAAGUGUCACCUGAUCCCUAGGUGCUCAGGGCCUGUUCUUGGCUCACUCACAUCAGCCAGCCCCGGGAGCUGAUCAGCAGACCCAGCAAAUCAGCAUCUCUCCAGGACGUUCCGACAUGCCAAGGUCUGCAAGGAACACCAGACUUUGAACACAUUCUGGAAGUCUCCUCCGUUUUCAUUCCAUUGGCUCUAACAGCCCCCACCCAUUCCCGUGGGACUGAUUUUCUCUGGAGCUCUGCUCCAGGCUGCUGGACCGUCUUGCUUCACUGGAAGAGAGACCGAGUGCUGGAACUGUUCCCAUUCCUCUCCGCUGGCUCCUAGUCAGUGCAGCAAGGUGAAUCCUGCAGGCUGGGACGGGGCCUGAAGCCCUCCCUGCUCAUUUUCCUCCCCCUCGCAGUUUCCCUAGGAGCUGGUCUUUAUGUACACACGACCCCCAGGUUCAUACUUGUGCUUCAGGGCUGAACACAGGACAGGUGUGUAUGGUCAUUUCUGUUGGACUUCGCCAUGGAACAUUAAUUAGCUUUUUUUUUUAAGUGUGUUUUCCCCAAGAGACCGGUUCUUUCAACCCAGAGGCAACACUACCAGAUCUUCUGGUAUAGAAGUGACACUUUAGAUCAGCGGUUCUUAAGUCUCAAGGCUGUGACCAUUUCAUACAGGUUCUCUCAUCUUGUGGUAACCCCAACCAUAAGAUUAUUUUUUAUUGCAACUUCCUAACUGUAAUUUUGCAACUGCUAUGAAUCAUAAUGUAAAUAUCUGUGCUUUCCAAUGACCUUAGGCAACCCCUCUGAAAGGGUUCUUUUGAUCCCCAAAAGGGCCAAGACCCACAGGUUGAGAACCUCUGCUUUAGAUCCUCAGUAAUACUAUGGCUUACCCUCCUCCUUCCAUAAGAUUCAUUUUCUCAGCCUCA